UGUCAGCCAUCUUGUCUUGAUUGUGAUUCACUUUGCUAGUCAACUGGCUCAACGCCUCAACAACUUUCUUAUUUUCCUAAUUCCAGUCGGUUCUGGGCUCUGUGUUGAAAUAUCGGACUUUCCCCUACAUUAGAGGUGUGCCAGAGAUAUUCUGAAAUUCCUAGUGUUGUGAAGCAUAAUAAUUUUACCGCUAAAGUUAUGGCAGGUGUCAAAGUGGAAACAGCUCCAGCCCAGAAUGGUUUGAAGGAAGGAGGAACUCCAGGACACAAUAGACCCAAUAGGCCUAAUAAAUUCUCCCCCGGCGGUAAUCAAGGCCAAAACCGAUUUAAUCAACAACGUAAAAAAGACGAUCAAGGUCAUGUACAAGGUCAAGGUAGACCUCAAAAUGCUGGACAAGGUAGACCUCAAAACGCUGGACAAGGCAGACUUCAAAACGCUGGACAAGGCAGACCUCCAAAUGCUGGACAAGGCAGAGCUCAAAAUUCAGGCCCGGGUGGACCAAACAAAGGGCCAAGGGGUAAAGGUGGACCCUAUGGUGAAAAUAGAUUUGAAAAUGAUCGCUUCAUGGAGAAACUUCUCUCCCUAUCUGGACCAACUGUAGAAUUACCACCGCAACCAGAAAAAGAGAAAAAAUUCAUGGGUAAUUGCAGACUGUACAUUGGAAAUGUUGGCCCAGACUUUACCGAUAACGAUUUGAUUGAGUUAUUCAAACCCUAUGGAGAGACAGCUGAACCAUUCUACAGCAAAGAGAAAAAUUUUGGAUUCAUACGUCUGGAUUAUCGAGCAAAUGCUGAAAAAGCAAAGAGAGAGCUCGAUGGAAAAAUGCGAAAGAACAGGCCCAUGAAAGUCCGUUUUGCACCAUUGGGAGCUUCUAUCAGAGUAAAAAAUCUCUCUGAUCAGGUGUCAAAUGAAUUACUCGAGUUAGCAUUUUCAGUUUUUGGAGAUAUCGAAAGAGCUGUUGUCAUCACUGAUGAAAGAGGCGUAUCAACAAAUGAGGGUAUUAUAGAUUUCGCUCGUAAACCUGGUGCUAUGGCAGCACUCAAGCGCUGUCAAGAAGGCUGUUUCUUCCUGACCAGCUCACUAAGGCCUGUGCUUGUGGAGCCAUUUGAAGUCUUAGAUGAUGUUGAUGGUUUGCCAGACAAAAAUCUCAAUCGUAAAUCUCCAAAUUUCUACAAGGCCCGUGAGGUUGGACCUCGUUUUGCCAAAGUUGGAAGUUUUGAAUUUGAAUACGGUUCAAGGUGGAAGCAAUUGCAUGAGCUUCAAAAGGAGAAAAUAGAAACCCUCAAAAGAGAAAUGAAAAUUGAGGAAGAAAAGUUGGAAGCUCAGAUGGAACUUGCAAAAUAUGAACAUGAAACUGAAAUGUUAAGAGAACAGCUAAGGCAAAGAGAAUUGGAUAGAGAUAGACAAAAGUUGGAGUGGGAAAUGAAAGAGAGACAAGUAGAAGAAAUGAGACGUCAAGAUGAGGAAUUAACACGGAGACGAGAAGAAGAGAUGUCACUGCGCAUGCAUCAUCAAGAAGAUGAACUGCGUCGCAGACAAGAAGAAAAUACUUUGUUCAUGCAAGCACAGCAGUUAAAUAACAUUCUGGAUCAACAAGAACCUGCAGGAAGAUCUUUGAAGGGUUUUGAUGCCCCACCAGAUCCAAUUAGAGAUUUUGAUGGAUUCCCCGGAGCCGCACCAGUCCAGAUUGCUGUUCAUUGAUGCAGGAACUUCAUCCCUAACUUCAAGAGUUAUAGGAUUGGAUUUUUAGUCUACUAGAUGCAGUCUGGCAAACUGUAUCAGGAAGAUAUUGCAUUUGGUGUGCUCAAAUAUGUGGAGUGUCCUCUAAGACGCCAUGUGUUACAGGUGUGCUUCUUUUCAAAAUUACUUUCAUGCAACAUUUGAUCACACAUCCUGUCGGUACUUAAAAGUGAAGAAUUAGCAAGGCAGCUAACAUUGUCUGUAAACAUCAACCAACUGUUUUUUUUUUUCCAGGAAGAUCUUUUACACAGUGGUGACAAAGAUGAUUGAUAGUGAACCUUUAUCUCCUUGCUGCAUCGAGUUAGUGCCAACUGUAGUUUCAAAGCACUAAUUUAGACAUGGACAGGGUUGGUGAGGUGGAGUUUUUAAAUUUAUUUUUCAACCGUCGACUGUGAAAGCUCAUUUGAAGGAGAGGAAAAGAUACCCACGAAACUGUACUACGUACGAUGAUACUUUUCCAACCACAGGAAGUGGAUGCUCCUAUUCAGGAAGCACAAGAAUCAUAAAAUGGUGUCUCCUAAAAUCCUUUGGAAGGAAUUGAAUAUUUUCUCAGUGUUAUAGGUGCCCGCGGAUUUUCUGCCUCCCUGAUUUAAAAAGCCCCCCCCCCCCAAGAAAAAGAAAAAAUUCGCCAAAAUGCGUAAUUUUAAUCAGGGGAGAAAAUUAAAUUUUUCAAAUGAAAACUUUUGAAAAUUAAGUUCCUUAUUUUUAAAAGAUAAAAACCAUUCAUUUUCACUUUAGCAAUAGACAAAGCUCAUCCUCAGUAAUAUGUUGUCUUUAGUUCCAUCUAGCAUAUUGCUAAUGCAACGCUUCGAAAAUGACUUUUCAAUAAACUGUCAUGUGAUCAGUGCCUGCGGACGCUGCUCCAAUCAAAUAUUGUUGUGAGAGCAGUUCUUCAUUCUGCGCAUGGCUGUAUAUUCAUGCAUUUCAUUCGCCUUGUAUCAGGCUUCAAAUGUUUGCAAAUGCUCCGUAAAAGGCUUAAUGUCAAACUUAUACAAGAGUUGCAGUACCUGAUUCAUGCCUCCUCUGAAGCGACUUUUUACGUUAUCGGUAAAAUGUUCCUUGCAACUGUCAAAUAUGAGCACUGAAUUUUAAUAAAAAAUGCAACUGGACCCUUUUUCCAAGUUAGACAAAUCCUUCCUUCCGCAAACUUGUGUACAUCAAACUUUUUUUGUUUGCUUGCCCAAUCGUAGUUCUAGGAUAUCAUAUUUAAUAAGAAAAUUUGAGUUAGUGGAAUUUGUAAACUUUGCUACUGAUGGAUAAGUGGAAUUUGUAAACUUUGCUACUGAUGGAUAAGUGGAAUUUGUAAACUUCGCUUCUGAUGGACAAGUAGAAUUUGUAAACUUUGUUACGGAUGGGAUAAUUUGUGAAUAGGCACCGAAAUGGUGAUUGAUGAGGAUAAAACUGCUUACUUCUCUCAAAGUGAUAGAAAGUUAUGUAUGUCAUAAAUAAGAUUGGGAAAUUAAUCGCAUUUCCUCUUCGUCUUCAUCGCCUUACACUAAUUUUAUCAGUUCAGCUAAGCUAGAAUGAACAAAAUAGUAACUUUAGUCAGAAAAUAUGUGAAGUGUCUCUCUUAUCUGAUUUAGCUUUUUCUUCCAAUAGAUGAUGGCCAAUUUUCUGACCAUUUCACCUCCUUCUAAUUCAACACCUCAUUGCGUAAGUAAACUUACAAAGCUACACACAAAAAACUCAUCAAGUCCAUAUUAGUUUUUGUUAAAUAGUAUUAUUCUAUCUUUGUCCUCAUCUUCUCUCAUGCAUAACUUUUUUAAAAAAUACUUUUUAUGUUUCCAAGUGCCAAGGUACACAAGUUUUAAGUUUCGUUUGAUUAUUCAUUCUUUGUUGUUCGUUGCUCAAUUGUCAAGUUUGUUUUUUAAUUAAAAAACCGUUCUAAAGUU